AUGUCGUUGCUCCCGCCAGGCAUGAGAUCACUCGGUUGCCGAGUCGUGUACCUGUGCCGGGACCCCAAGGACGCUCUUGUCUCAAGGCUGCACUUCGAGAACAAGGCGUUUCCGGGCACCGACCUAUCCAUGGACGGAUGUUUCAGCAUGUUCUGCAAGGGAUUCUCGCCUUAUGGCCCCUUCUGGGAUCAUUGCCUCGAGUACUGGAGGGAGAGCAUGGCAAGGCCGGACAGCGUCCUCUUCCUUAAGUACGAAGAGAUCAAGUCCGAUCCAACGCUGGUUGUGAGGAAGCUGGCGAAAUUCCUCGGCAUCCCACUGACCGAGGAGGAGGAGAGGUCCGGUGUUGCUGAGGAGGUGGUGAGGCUGUGCAGCUUUGAGGCACUUACCAGCCUGCAAGUCAAUCAGGUCGGCCGCGUUCAUUUCAGUGAUAACAUUGUCAUGAGUAACUCUGUGUUUUACAGAAAAGGAGAGGUAGGGGACUCGGUAAACCACAUGAGCCAGGAGAUGGGGGAGGAGUUGGACCGCAUCGUCCAACACAAGCUUGAGGGAUCUGGGCUUGUGUUUUGA
rnacentral:rRNA from 1 species